rnacentral:rRNA from 1 species
UGCAGUCGAGCGGAACGAUGGUAGCUUGCUACCAGGCGUCGAGCGGCGGACGGGUGAGUAAUACUUAGGAAUCUACCUAGUAGUGGGGGAUAGCUCGGGGAAACUCGAAUUAAUACCGCAUACGACCUACGGGAGAAAGGGGGCAGUUUACUGCUCUCGCUAUUAGAUGAGCCUAAGUCGGAUUAGCUAGAUGGUGGGGUAAAGGCCUACCAUGGCGACGAUCUGUAGCUGGUCUGAGAGGAUGAUCAGCCACACCGGGACUGAGACACGGCCCGGACUCCUACGGGAGGCAGCAGUGGGGAAUAUUGGACAAUGGGGGAAACCCUGAUCCAGCCAUGCCGCGUGUGUGAAGAAGGCCUUUUGGUUGUAAAGCACUUUAAGCAGUGAAGAAGACUCCGUGGUUAAUACCCACGGACGAUGACAUUAGCUGCAGAAUAAGCACCGGCUAACUCUGUGCCAGCAGCCGCGGUAAUACAGAGGGUGCAAGCGUUAAUCGGAAUUACUGGGCGUAAAGGGAGCGUAGGUGGCUCGAUAAGUCAGAUGUGAAAUCCCCGGGCUCAACCUGGGAACUGCAUCUGAUACUGUUGAGCUAGAGUAUGUGAGAGGAAGGUAGAAUUCCAGGUGUAGCGGUGAAAUGCGUAGAGAUCUGGAGGAAUACCGAUGGCGAAGGCAGCCUUCUGGCAUAAUACUGACACUGAGGCUCGAAAGCGUGGGUAGCAAACAGGAUUAGAUACCCUGGUAGUCCACGCCGUAAACGAUGUCUACUAGUCGUUGGGUCCCUUGAGGACUUAGUGACGCAGCUAACGCAAUAAGUAGACCGCCUGGGGAGUACGGCCGCAAGGUUAAAACUCAAAUGAAUUGACGGGGGCCCGCACAAGCGGUGGAGCAUGUGGUUUAAUUCGAUGCAACGCGAAGAACCUUACCUGGUCUUGACAUAUCUAGAAUCCUGCAGAGAUGCGGGAGUGCCUUCGGGAAUUAGAAUACAGGUGCUGCAUGGCUGUCGUCAGCUCGUGUCGUGAGAUGUUGGGGUUAAGUCCCGCAACGAGCGCAACCCUUGUCCUUAGUUACCAGCGGGUUAAGCCGGGAACUCUAAGGAUACUGCCAGUGACAAACUGGAGGAAGGCGGGGACGACGUCAAGUCAUCAUGGCCCUUACGACCAGGGCUACACACGUGCUACAAUGGUAGGUACAGAGGGCAGCUACACAGCGAUGUGAUGCGAAUCUCAAAAAGCCUAUCGUAGUCCAGAUUGGAGUCUGCAACUCGACUCCAUGAAGUAGGAAUCGCUAGUAAUCGCGGAUCAGAAUGCCGCGGUGAAUACGUUCCCGGGCCUUGUACACACCGCCCGUCACACCAUGGGAGUUGAUUGCACCAGAAGUGGAUAGCUUAACCUUCGGGGGAGCG